rnacentral:RNase_MRP_RNA from 1 species
AAGCACGGCUUCGCAGCGCACAGACGGGGAGCUUGCUCCCAUCCAUGCUGCGGGGAAAGUCCCCG